rnacentral:lncRNA from 1 species
GUUUUUUCAGCUUAUCAAUCAAUUAUUAACGCUAUAUAUCAUAUGCAUAAUCGAAUGACAUAACUACUUUAAACUAAUUCUUUGGGACUUAGAAGCUAGACGAUUUACACAGAUUCAUAAUCGGGAAACUCAUUAAAACAUCAAAAAGAUAAAUUCAAAUGAGAACCAAAAAGACAUCGUUGUCUGUUCUAAUCAGCUGAAACAGUCUAAUGGGAUGAAGCAACAAGCUCAAGUUUUCGCUUGCAGUUUUCAACAGUUUGCUUAUCUAGGGGAAAAACACUACACAACUAAAAAAAAGAUAUAACUGACUCCGGAAUAAAACUUGUGCUCACUCCGCAUAUGACAUAUGCUUUGCAAACUCCCUAGAGCUCAUCCUGCAAACAAACGGAGGGGAAAGAACUGUUAAGACAUUGCUAUUGAAAUUGAUUUAAGAACAUAUUUGACAGAAUGAAAAAACCUACAUGUACGUCAUCUUUAUUGGUUUCAUCGCUGUCUUCGCCAGCUUCCGCCUUUGACUCAUCAUCAGAGUCGUGGCUAACUUCAUUGGCAUCUUCUUCAUCCUCUUCCGCAUCAGAAUCAACUGGAUCAUCCUUUGUUUCCUGACAAAGAGUUAUGGAAGUGUAAGAAGAGUCUAUGUUCUUACAACAAAACUAGUAAAAUUGGAACAACAUGAUAUGUUUCAAAUAUGCUUUUCAGAAUCAAAAUGUACCUCCUCCUCUUUCUUCUUCUCAGCCUCUUCAAAUGCUGCCUUCUCAGCCUGCAAGAACAUAUUUUCACCAAAGAGAUCAAUAUCCAUUAAGAUUUAUUCCUUAAGGCCAAAAGAUUGAAUGAAUAGAAAACAUCUUACAUCUUUCUGCUUGCCCCAUGUUUCUUCAGCAACUUGCUUAGCAUACUCAGGAUCAUCGGUAAUAACAACAUUGUCAAACAAUGUACCAGAUUUCACCUGCAAAGUUAAGUAGCUUGCUGGUCAGAGUUUGGAACUAAAAUGCUCAUAUCAAGUGGAAAAAGUAAACAUAACAGAAACAGUACCUGCCACAAUUCAAUGCCAACAUACUUCAACUUGGGGAAAACAUAGAUGUCAGGGUCGUCCUUGAAGUCUGGUAAAUAUAUAAAUUACGAAUGUUAAAAAUACUUCAAAACCUAAAAGCAAUUACAUAACAUCAACUGUGAAAACAAGGAUGAAAAGCAAACCUGGGUUGUCAAUCAAUGGUGCCUUCCACUUUCCACUGUAGUUGGGGUUCUUGAUUUUCUGCCAAGACGUAACACCCAUAGUAUGUAAAAACAAAUCAAUUCCUAAACAUAUUGCAAUAUGCCAUCAAUUAAUGCUUCCACACAAACAAACCUUUGGCUUCCAUGGUCCCUUGUACUCUGGGUUGGCAAUGGUAGGUGCGGUCCACUCACCAUCUUCCUCGUCAUCCCAGUCCUCAGGCUACACAACAAUUAUUCUAAUCAGCAACGCCACAAGAUAAUGAGAGAUGAAUGAACACAGCAAUGGGAAAAAACAAACCUUUUUGGCAUCAGGAUCUGCGACCUCUUUAGGGAUGUCAUCAUAUCCCUACAAAUACAGACAGGAUGUCAGAGUCAAUAUCUGAUACACCACAUAGUACAUGGUAACCUCAUAAAAAGUAUAGAAAAAGGUAUUACCUCUGGCUUCUUGUCUUCGGGAUCAGGAAUAAACUCCUUAUCAUCCCAAUCCUCUGGCUGUAAGUAUUUAAAUUAUGAUUAGAAAUUAGAAAGUAGGAAUACAUAAAUCAAAAGGAAUCUGGCAAUUAAACUAUAAACGUAGGUGAAAAGGGUACCUUUUUGGCCUCAGGGUCCUUGAUUUUCUUUGGUGGGAGAAGACUCCAGUCAGAGUAGAGACUACCUGUUUGCUUCUCCACAUUAUCAAUCAAAAUGCUGUAGGUUGCAUCAGGACGGAUGAUGAAUGUGUAAACAUGAGUAAGCUGGUCAGUCUCACAAGGAACAUCCUUCUUGAUUAAGUGGUUUGUGUCAUUGUAGGUCAGAAUAGCGUGUACUUUCUUGGUGCUGUAACCACAGAUAUCUGGACCAAACAUGAUACUGCAAAAUAGUAACAAAUGAAAGAAAAUCAGUUAUUGUCCCAUAUAAUCUAAGACAUUAUAAGCCGUGGAAGAGAAAUAAAACUAGAGGGGAUAUUAUAAAUCACCUGUAAGGAGUAUCACCGCCAAAAUUCUUCUGAUCAACAUCGCCGCUAAGCAACUUCAUGUAACCACCACCACAGUCAAGUUUCUGUUCAUGCUUGACAGAAAAUUGGAAGACUAGUGUGUUAUCCUUAUUGCUGAAUUCAGGGAACUCGGCAGAGAUAGCAUAAAAUCUGUAAUCUUCACUGGUUUGAAUACCUGCGGAGAUAUCAAACAUUUGAGAAAAUCAACCUCAAUAUCAUCUUUCAAUUAAAAUUAAACACCAGCAACAAUAAAACAAGGUUGUUCAACACAACAAUUUAGUUUACCUUUGUCAUUAGCGUCUCCAUUCCAUUGACCAGAGGUGUAGUUCCACUCCCCAGCCAAGUUCUCGUCUUUCUUCCAUUCGGAUUUUACCCACCGGCUUUCCCAUCCAUCUUUAGCAUUCAACAUAAUGUAUCAACACACGAGUUAGAAAUAAGGAAAAUGAUGAUUAUAAAAUAUGCACUAUAUACUAAUUACCCAUGAAUAUGGACUAUCCUUACCAAAAAAGGAAAAACAGAACAGUUCUUACAGUAAUAAUAUUAUGGCCCUGUUUGAUUAGCUCAAAUUGAUUUCGGAAAUGCUAUAAGCUGUGACUUAUGGAAAUAAACUGAAAACAGCUUAUGAACAUUUCAUAAAGUGUUUUCAUACGUUCUUCCGUAGAGUCUCACAGAUGCUUAUGCCACUAGAUAAGCUCAAAUAAGUUAAUCUAAAUAGUUCUUACACACAAAAACAGAGACAAAUAAUUCAAAGUAAAAAAAAAAAAAAACUACCAUUACUUAAUCCGGACACACAACUCAAAUCAAUUAACGUCUUCAGAAAUGAGAUUAAAAGGAUUGUAAACAAAAUGAAAUGGAAAUUCAAAUACAGUUAAUCGUCACUGCUGUUUAUAUAUCACUAAUCCAUGAUCAAAGAUUAAUUAACCAAAAAACGUGCCAAAUAAUUUUCAAAUGAACAUCAUCACGUUCAGUACACACGUGUUCAGAUCUACUCCAGACAACGACAGUUCAGAUCAAAUCAAAAAUCUAAUAAUUCAGAUCGAGAUUCAAAUCACAUUAUAAAAACACCGAUCGUGAAAAUUCGAUCACAUUAUUGAAAUCACGCAACAAUGCAAAACGGAAAAUUCAAAUUCUAUAAAUUACAAAGACGAAGGUUAAAUUCAAGAUGAUCUAGUAAAGGUGAAAUGAAAAAAAGAGAUAUAGAAAUGAAUGAUAUACCUUGGAAGCGUUCUUCGAAGAAAACCUUCGCAGAAGCGAUGGAGAGAAGGGAGAAAAGAACGAGAGAAAGAAGGUUAGGGUUUCGAACCCUAAUCGCCAUUGCAAUGGAAUCGUUCGCUGAG